GGGGGCGCCCAGCCUGCUUGCCAGCCGUGGAAACAAUGCCGAGCAUCUCUGGGGCUGAAUUCAGCUCCGCUCAUCCAAAUACUCAUCCCGUGUGUGUCAACACCAUGACGUGUGUGCUAAAAAUAAGUGGCCCUGAUGGAGCUCUUCUGAGCGGGCAAACAACUUCCCCAUCCAUUAUGUUCAGUGGGUCCCCACAGGGUCUGAGGAGGAACCAGGCGGGAAGGGACUGCUUCGUAGGCCAGAGAUAGGAACCGAGGCCUGGGGAGAUCCGGGGACUUGUGGGAGGCCACACAGACAGUAGAUGGCCGUGUUAAGACAGAAGUGAAAUCUUUAAACAUCGAAAUCUGCAAGAAGGAUGAUCAGGGGUCUGGGGACAGAAUUUCAAAAGGGCAGAGCAUGGAUGAAACCAUUCAAAGCCGCAUUAACGCUCCACCAAUGCACCAAGCUCUGUGUAUAAAGGAGCACUGAGAAGGACACAUAACUGGAAAGAGGAAAGGAGAUUUUGGGUCCGUAGAGAGCAAGAAGACAGACCCAGGAAUGUUUAACCCAAGGAACACUGAGAAGGCUGAUGAAAGCUUCCCCCAAACAAUCAAAGGCUCUCUGGGUGGGUCAGGCUGCAGUGUCGGAGGCCUUUGCAGGCAAACUGCUACGGUUGCAAACAGCUCUGCUACGUCCACCUGAAUGAUUUAGAUGUCUGUAAUUUCUGAUCCCUAGGCCUAGGCUACUGGUUUCUGCGAAGGAAAGGCUGGUGGAACAAGGGUGGUUUCUUAUAGGAUUGUCAGGGCUAUCAAAGAAACUAAUGUAAACAAAGUCAAUAAAGAAAUGGUCAAUGGAAAUGAAUAUUCAACAGACAAUCGUUAUGUCUAUACCCAGGAAAGAACUUUACAUUCAUUUAACCUAGCAAGUCUAAUGAGUAGCUGUGAAUUCUCUAUAGAGAGAUGAAGAAUUCUGAAACAGAUGUAGGGAUCUACAAUUAUUUGCAGCCAUAAAAGGCUCUUCCAAACAGUAUGGGCCUAUUAAUUCCUUUCAUUCACACAUACUGAAGAUCAAGUCAAUGAGAAGAUUUCUGCUAGGCUGAAAAACACACCAAGCCAAGAAAUUAGCUACACAAUGUCACCACUUAUAUGCAACGCUGGAGUUGUCCUACCUGGGUAACAAAGCCAGCAAGAAGGCAAAAGGACUAAGGAUAGGAGAAGAAAGAGAAGUAAAACUGUCACUGUAACCAACAAGAUGACCAACUACAUAUAACGCCCAACAGGAUCUUCAGACAGUUUUGAAUUAGUAAAUAAAUUAAGCAAGGUAAUUAGCCAUAAGGGCAACCUGCAAAGAAUUGGUUGUAUUCCCAUAUAUUAGUAACACGAGAAAUCAGAAAGUCACAUUAGAAACAUCCCAGCUUCUAGAAAUAAAUGUUACAAUACAAAAUAUCAAAAACCUCUCUACCAAAAACUAUUCAAAAUCAUUGGUAAAAACAAAAGCCAGUCUAAUUAGAGGUGCAUGUUCACGGUCAGACUUCGCUGACUGUAAUUCUACGUAACCCCAUCUGAAAAUUCAUUAGGUUUUUUAAUACAAACUAAAAAUCAAAUCUUACAUUUCCUAUGGGAAAUUAAGGCACCAGGACGAUCCAGCUACCGAGGAGACUCUGGCAGGAGGAUCUCUUGAGAGCUCUUGAGAUCCCCGGUUUGAGAUCAUUCUAGACAACGUACCAAGACUCACCUCAGAGCAAACAAAAAGAGGGCUGGGAUUUAGCUCAGUGGUGCUGCCCCC
ensembl:lincRNA